UACGAAGGGGGCAAGCGUUGUUCGGAUUUACUGGGCGUAAAGGGCGCGUAGGCGGAUUUGUAAGUCAGAGGUGAAAGCCCUGGGCUCAACCCGGGAAUGGCCUUUGAGACUGCAAGUCUUGAGUGCGAGAGAGGGUGGCGGAAUACCCAGUGUAGAGGUGAAAUUCGUAGAUAUUGGGUAGAACACCGGUGGCGAAGGCGGCCACCUGGCUCGCAACUGACGCUGAGGCGCGAAAGCGUGGGGAGCAAACAGG
rnacentral:rRNA from 1 species